AAAGUCGUAACAAGGUUUCCGUAGGUGAACCUGCGGAAGGAUCAUUACAUUCAGUAGCCUAGCUACUUGUUUACACCCUUGUUUUUUGCGUACCUAUUGUUUCCUCGGUGGGCUUGCCCGCCGGCUGGACAAACACUAUAACCUUUUUAAAUCUUCAAUCAGCGUCUGAAUUAUAUUUAAUAAUUACAACUUUCAACAACGGAUCUCUUGGUUCUG
rnacentral:misc_RNA from 1 species